UACAGAGGUCUCAAGCGUUGUUCGGAUUCAUUGGGCGUAAAGGGUGCGUAGGCGGCGCGGUAAGUCGGAUGUGAAAUCCCUCGGCUCAACCAAGGAAGUGCAUCCGAAACUGCUGAGCUUGAGUACUUAAGAGGAUCGCGGAAUUCCCGGUGUAGAGGUGAAAUUCGUAGAUAUCGGGAGGAACACCAGUGGCGAAGGCGGCGAUCUGGGAAGAUACUGACGCUGAGGUGCGAAAGCGUGGGGAGCAAACAGG
rnacentral:rRNA from 1 species